GGCGAACGCUGGCGGCGUGCUUAACACAUGCAAGUCGAGCGAUGAAAGCCUUAUGAACUAUUCGUAGUGAUUGGGGCCGGAUUAGCGGCGGACGGGUGAGUAACGCGUGAGCAACCUGCCUUAAACAACGGGAUAGCCUCGGGAAACCGGGAUUAAUACCGUAUGAGACCCCGCCUUCACAUGAAGAAGAGGUUAAAGAUUUAUCGGUUUAAGAUGGGCUCGCGUCUGAUUAGCUAGUUGGUGAGAUAAAAGCCCAACAAGGCAACGAUCAGUAACCGGCUUGAGAGAGUGAACGGUCACAUUGGAACUGAGACACGGUCCAAACUCCUACGGGAGGCAGCAGUGGGGAAUAUUGCACAAUGGGGGAAACCCUGAUGCAGCGACGCCGCGUGAGCGAUGAAGGAAUUCGUUUCGUAAAGCUCUGUCCAAGGGGAAGAUAAUGACAGUACCCUUGGAGGAAGCCCCGGCUAAAUACGUGCCAGCCGCCGCUGUAAGAC
rnacentral:rRNA from 1 species